rnacentral:rRNA from 1 species
AUGCUUGAAAUACCACCCUGGUAUGUUCGGAGUUCUAACCUAGAUCCAUUAUCUGGAUUGGGGACAGUGUAUGGUGGGUAGUUUGACUGGGGCGGUCUCCUCCUAAAGAGUAACGGAGGAGCACGAAGGUACCCUCAGCCUGGUCGGAAAUCAGGCAAUGAGUGCAAUGGCAUAAGGGUGCUUGACUGCGAGAUAGACACAUCGAGCAGGUACGAAAGUAGGUCAUAGUGAUCCGGUGGUUCUGUAUGGAAGGGCCAUCGCUCAACGGAUAAAAGGUAC